ACUUCAAAAUAUGAAAUUCGUUUUAAACAAUACAAGUACAACACAGUCGAAGUCUAGUCUAAUAUUUCCCUAAUCACUACAAUGAACGUGUUGUAAAGGCGACCCAAACUCAAAACUAUUAAUGCACAAAGUUAGCCCGACAACUAUCGCCAACCGAGUAACUUGUGCCACAAAUAAUAUCUAAAAUUAAUUCUCACACCAUUGCAGGGUCGACCGCGUGUAUUUGUGGCAUGUUUUAGAAAGCAAAAGUACUAGGUUUGCAUAGGAGUGAAGGAGCUUAGCUGUGGUCGCGUAGGCUCGGUGCGUCGCGGGCAGACGGCGCGCGGGGGUGGAUCGAUACCCAGGCCGCAUUGUUGCCCCUGCUCAAAGCCCCUCAGCCCGCACACUUCCCCGCGCCCCGCCCCAGGCUUGCACCCGAAAUUCGCCCCAUUUGAUCCUGAGAGCGCGAAUCAAUCGCUUUUGUUGCAGUAACUUGAUGCAUCACUUCGAAGGGCGAAGUUGCCGAUGUCAUGUAAAAAGGGGCCUUUAGUGCUAUUGUAGGUCGUUGUUCCCUGCUAAUAAGGGCGGAAAUGGCUAAAAUUUAAAAGAAAAUUGUUUUUUACAGUCAACAGCUGUUUACGACAAAUGUUAAAGCAUUGUUCACGUGGAAUCGACGCAGAGAGCCAAUAAAAUAAGAAAGCGUAACACAAUGUUGUGAGAAGAAAGCUGACCUGUAAGUUUUGGUUUUACAAUAAGCGAAAUAGCUAAUUAGCUAGCUAGCUAUUCUUUAACAAUAUUUCACAGACGAGUGCACUGUUUAAUGAACUGCGUGUUCAAAUGCAGUUUAUGAGUGGCAGAUUUUUUCCAAUUGCAUAGUAUACGGGGAUAUUAAAAUAAAGAUGCAAGAUGCAUAACAUUCACAUGUUUAUAAGUACAUGUUACGUUUCUUUGGGAUUAAGUAUUGAAUGAAAGAAACCCGCAACACAAUGUAAAUUACUAUUAAGUUUACGCAUAAUAUAUAUUUUUACUUGUAUUAAUAUCCAGAUAAUUGUGAACUAAAUGAAUAUAAAACUAGGAAAGCUAGGAAAUACAUUUCAAAGAUUUCAUGGGAAUACAAUAAUAAUUAUAAUUGCCGCUUGUAUCUAUCUAAACAAUAGACCGAUAGAACUACAUAGUUAGUACCUACAUAUUCUAAAACGGUUCCUGGGUUAACAGCAACGCAAUAUACGCGGGAAGUUUAAAAGACGUUCUUAUCUCAAAACACGGUUUAAAAACACAUUAUCGUUAAUAGAAUAUUAAAUUUUGAAACUAUUUUAAAGUUUCGCAACGUUGUUACUUUUACUAUGCGCACUAUGUAUAAACUUAACGACAUUCGAGGCUCUGGGUUGUAAAAGAUAAGCUAAAACUUGCCAAUAAACUAAAAUACCGCUACGUUACACCGCGGCUUUCCCUGCAAGAUUUGUGAUUUUAUGCUGUGCAAUUACUAUUAGAUGUUAAGUGUCUAAUACACUAGAGAUGUUAGUUCUGUUUUGAGUUUAGCUUUUACUCUAUUGUACUAGAAAUGUUCUGAAAUAACUUUGAAAAGAACAUAAAUGAAAUUUAACCUUUUGUUUUAGGUAAUCGACAUUACAGUCAGUUCAGACAAAUAAGCGUACAUUGGGAUUGUAAAAUACAGAAUACAAAACAAACAGAUGGAAGUCGGCAAACGUAUGUGAAGGAGGGAAUAAGGGUUUUGAACGUAAAUAACAAAUGGUCUUUAAAAGUCUGUGGCUGUCCCGAAUAAAGGGAAGUAGAUUUACACGCAAGGAAAGCCGUUUAUAGACAAAAUAAAACCGUGACUGGUAACUUAGUAUUAAAGUUUCAACACUCUCAGAACGUUUUAUCUUUUUAAACUAAGUUAGUUUUGUCUUUUCAGAAAAUUAGUGAGAGACUAAAAAUUGUACUGACUUUUUUACAGUGUAAUGGUACGAUUAACAUAAAAAACGAAUUAGCUACCCGCAUCAAGUAAAUUUUAGUCUAUUAGCAAAACAAGUCGAAAAUUGCUGAACAGAUUUUUAUGUAGUCACCAGUGGAUAGAAUGAUCGUGAAGAUUUAAAUAUCAAGAUGGCGAAGCUGGAUGUGGAAUGCCAAUUUGAAAUAAAGGCUUUGAAUUGUCCUUUUGACCCAAACAUAAUAAGGACAUAGGCACUACCUAUGUCCAAUGAACACGGAACUUAGGCCAACAAAAUGUUCAACAAUAGAAAUGUCAAGACAAAGCUCUUUAGAAAAACUUAGUCGUUCGGAACAAAAGGACGUUCCGUUGAAAGUGGAGACGCAAAGGGGGCGCUGUAAAUCAAUGCUGGCGAAUAAUAAAAUGCAAAUGUACAAAGACUUGUUUUUACUGGAAACGCUGAUAUAGACAACGGCCAUCUUAGUCAAGACGAGAAAGUUCUUGUUAAUGUUAUCGCAUCAGAUGUUUCCUUUACAAGUAACUUCAGUUAUUAGUCGAAACAAGAUAGGCAACGCCUUGUGUGAGCAAAAGCACGUUCAACACCUCCAUCUAAAAAGGCAACAUGAUUUAGAACUGGACCAGUAUUAAGUUAUUAAUAAAGAAAUAAAACUGCUAAACAUUAAACGAGACAUGACUAUAUCCUUAUUAAGGAAGCAGUUUAUUACAAGCACGCUACAUAUUUUGUACCAUAACUUUGAGCAAAGAGAAGAAAACGAAGCAGACGCAUUUGAAGACUUCGGGGAACUCGAAGCUCAGAACGCACAUCGGUUUCAAACUGUUGAUAGGGCUUUCGUUUAUUGUUUCUUUUGUGAAAUGAUAUCGGACAUACCAUUUAUAUGACGUUCCCAUUUUACCAACAAGUUAAUGCAAUAGUUUACAAAAUUCAGGUUUCGUAUAUUCAUCGUGUUAUUUUUCGUGUACAAAUAUAUCAAUCACUUUCUAAUCCGCUGUCGUCUCAACGUUUGUGCCAACUGGUGCAUAAGAAAAGGUGACGCUCGUAUCAAGCAACUGCAUCGACCUACAAUGAUGACCCUGGCAUGUUACCAGUCACAAAUGAAGGUUUAUUGCCAACGUAAUGUCGCAGCCAUUCAUCAGGCGUCGUUAGAGUCAAGAGGCAAUCUAGGAGCCAUACAUUUCUGUGAUUACUUUUACAUCCUGAUACGGUUGGACAGGUUUGUGGAAUAAAUUUUAAAGCAGUGGAAAAUUGGAAAUGCGACAAGUAGCAAUUGGUGAAUGAUAGUAAUUAUCUGGUAGUAGUCGGCCGCCCACCAGAAUUCCACGCUCAUUCCCACUGUAGCGGAACACUUGGUGCUCCCAGUUGUUUAUUCUCUCACACAAGUUAUGUUUUGGAGUGCGUGACUUGUCAAACGCCACGUCACUUGAACGCAGCACGCCAGCUACCCACGGUCCAUUAUUACUUUGUUAUUACUAAACGAGGAAUACGGUUUCGGAACGAUUUGUUUAAAGUAGUGCUUAUUGUUAUUCCACCAUAAAAAAAGUAAACCGUUAGGUAGCUAGGUGCUAGUGGAAAGCGUUUCAGUGGAAAUAAUUCCACAAACAUUCGAACGUUUGUGUGCUUUUUUGAUGAAACCUAAAAUCAAUAUUUGCACAAGGUUUCGUGUUCUUCCAUAUAACACUGCACAACACAAACAGUUGUAUCGAUUGCUGCAUAUGGUUGUGAGUUUGUGAUGAAUCAAAGCAUUCAGAGAUCCGUACAUCAAUACAGCUGAGACUAGCGUUUCAACGGAACAGAUAAACAAGCCAUAAUACCGUGGUAGGAGCGGACGAUAAACAAAGCAAGGGUCAACGCCACUGCACCGAGCACACGCAGCACAAAUUAUUACAUUUUUACUUUCAUGAUACAUUCAUGGAAUGAAUGAAGAGUUUGUGGUGAGUCUAAUGAGUUUAGAAGAUUGCUAGUUUAUUGAAAGUAAUCAUUUCUGAGGAGUAAUAUACCGAAAUCUUUGAAAAAAUAUUAGUGUCUCUUGUUGCUUCUUUAUUAUCUUUAUUUAAAAAACAUCAUCGCUACUAAGUUUUUCUCUCGCAAGGUUAUUUUUUAUGGCAUUAAUUAUACAGGAUGCUUACACGAAUGUUGUUUGGAACACAGUAAAAGCAUACAGAUUUACUUGUCUAAUCCUCAGACGUUUCGUUUAAGACUUAAGUCAUUCCCAAAGGCGAAGUUCCGAAAGCUUACCGCAAAUAUUUGAUGAAGAUUUUAUCAAGACCAUGAAGGGCCGAGGUACGAAUGUAAAUAUGAAUAGUUACAACUGCUAUGAUAAUGAACUAAGACCUCAAGCAUUAGUAGAAUUAAUUCUCACUUCCUGUCCUCAUUAAAAAGUUUAAGAAACAGAGUUAGUCACUUGAGAAAAAUGGUUUGAUUCGUCACAGACUAACAAAAAAUCAGUGAUGGUGACUAAGUUGAUUUCUCAAAGGCUAUCUCGUCAAUGGAAUGACACAGCAGAAAGGCUCCAAUCACUCUGUACAAUUCUUUGUUCAAUCCCGGAAUUCCCGAGGCAUUUCAUUUAAAACAUUUCGCAAAACAUCGACCCCUCGCUGUGAUAUUAAAAAUUGCAAUCAAACGUCGGCAAAAGAUGAACGCAUGAUACACCAAACAGUAAUUAAGUAUUUGAUACGUUACUCCGGUCACGGUAAAGCAAAAAAUAUUCAUGCAAAUUAGUAGAUAUUUCUGUACUUUUAAGCAGUCUUAUGAAAAACCGGUCCUUUUUAAAGAAAGAAGCUAAAGAUUACUUUUUUUUUUUGUAUAAUAGACAGUAAUAGCUCAGCAUGGUAUUUUUUUAUCAAAGAAUAGGCAAAUAAAAACAGGGAGAGACAGAGGUGCAAUGCCUAUUAAUUAUGCUACAGAACCUGAAAUACUACAUAAUCCUGAAAAAAAAAAAUAAGAUCACAUGCAUUUUAACCAAUAUGGCAAUAAUGGU